UACGUAGGGUGCGAGCGUUGUCCGGAAUUACUGGGCGUAAAGAGCUCGUAGGUGGUUUGUCGCGUCGUCUGUGAAAUUCCGGGGCUUAACUUCGGGCGUGCAGGCGAUACGGGCAAUACUUGAGUGCUGUAGGGGAGACUGGAAUUCCUGGUGUAGCGGUGAAAUGCGUAGAUAUUAGGAGGAACACCAGUUGCGAAGGCGGCUUCCUGGUCUGUUGCUGACGCUGAGGAGCGAAAGCCAGGGGAGCGAACCGGAUUAGAUACCCCCGUAGUCCCUGA
rnacentral:rRNA from 1 species